rnacentral:rRNA from 1 species
GGCGUGCUUAUACAUGCUCNNCGAACGAUGAAGCCCUUCGGGGUGGAUUAAUGGCGAACGGGUGAGUAACACGUGGGCAAUCUGCCCUGCACUCUGGGACAAGCCCUGGAAACGGGGUCUAAUACCGGAUACGACCUUCGAGCGCAUGCUUGAAGGUGGAAAGCUCCGGCGGUGCAGGAUGAGCCCGCGGCCUAUCAGCUUGUUGGUGGGGUAAUGGCCUACCAAGGCGACGACGGGUAGCCGGCCUGAGAGGGCGACCGGCCACACUGGGACUGAGACACGGCCCAGACUCCUACGGGAGGCAGCAGUGGGGAAUAUUGCACAAUGGGCGAAAGCCUGAUGCAGCGACGCCGCGUGAGGGAUGACGGCCUUCGGGUUGUAAACCUCUUUCAGCAGGGAAGAAGCGAGAGUGACGGUACCUGCAGAAGAAGCGCCGGCUAACUACGUGCCAGCAGCCGCGGUAAUACGUAGGGCGCAAGCGUUGUCCGGAAUUAUUGGGCGUAAAGAGCUCGUAGGCGGCUUGUCACGUCGGAUGUGAAAGCCCGGGGCUUAACCCCGGGUCUGCAUUCGAUACGGGCAGGCUAGAGUUCGGUAGGGGAGAUCGGAAUUCCUGGUGUAGCGGUGAAAUGCGCAGAUAUCAAGAGGAACACCGGUGGCGAAGGCGGAUCUCUGGGCCGAUACUGACGCUGAGNANCNAAAGCGUGGGGAGNNAANA